AAUUGGCCUUUGGAUAAUUGGAUCGAGAGAGAGAGAGAGAGAGCGUGAGAGCUCAUGAGAGUCGGUCUAGGAAGGAAACUAGGAGUGGAGCGAGGAUUUGGGCGAUAAAUGGUAGAGAAUCAUAUGCGUAGGGCUUUAGAUUUGCAUGGUUUGAAUUAUGAAAAAAUAUAGGCUUUUUUUUCUUUGUUCUUGUUGACAUAUAUCUAUAUCUGAUGAUUCUGAUCUGUCUCUCAGACAAACAACUGGGUCUGUGAAAAAUCAGAAACCUCUCAGUUACUUCUCUCUGUACACUCUGCUCUCUCUCUCUCCCUCUCUCUCACCAUCCCACUCCAGUCUUUGCUGAAAACUUGGCUACGCUUUUGGGAUUGUUCCUCAAAUUCGUUAACCAGCGAGAUUUUGGGUAACUUUUUCCUGCCUCGAUUCUUCAAUUUUUAUAUAAGAUUUACUUCCAAUUCUUGAUUUCAAAACAAUGACUUUGUGAAGAUCAGGAUUUGGUUCUCUCUUUCUAAAAUCUUUGUAUUUGCUUCAAAUUUUCUUGAAACGAUAAUGGAAGAGAGAGACGAUGGCUCAAAAAGACUGAAACAGAAGUAAAGCAAUACAAGCAUGAAAAACAAAAACUUUGGUCAUUCUCUGUAACUUUGCAUCUGGCUUUGUUUCAAAAAUUUUGAGAUUUUAUAAACUUAGAUGGAAAAGAACAAUAAUGGAUCAGGUGGAACAACCGCAAAAGUGUGGCAAGAGCAGUAGUUGUAUUGGUGUUGGUGUUAGUAUUGAUAUUGGAGGUGUUGCUAGAUCUUCCAAAAAGCCCAAGCAAAAGAAAGCCCCGCAGAGAGGACUUGGCGUGGCACAGCUUGAAAAGAUCAGGCUAGAAGAACAGCGAAAGAAAGACGCAAUUUUGUCAUCUCCACCUUCAGUCUCACCGACCAAAUCUUCCUCUAUAUCUUUGCCAAUUCCAAAUUACCACCAUUCAAAUCCAUCUUCAUCCUCAAUUCCCUUUCAUUCUCCAUCCCCGGCUCAUCUUUCAUCGCUAGAUUCGAUGAUCAGGCCACCUCAACCGGUCCAAAACAUCGAUGUACGAAAUUCAAGCACGGUUAUUAGCGGCGGGUUUGAAGCCGGUUGGUCUGGGAUUUCGGUUCCUGGGUAUGGCUGUGUGCCUAAAUUGUGGAACACUAAUGAGUAUGAUCCGGAGAAGGAGACUUCUGGGUUGGAUCUAGGAUUGGCAUUUCGGUCGAAUUUGAAUUUGCCUUAUGAAUCGGACAACCAUUUUUGGCCUCCCCCUAGUUUGAUGCAAAGAACGCAGCAAUAUCAGCAUCCUUCUCAUUCGAUGGUGAAUGUCUCAUCAGGAACUUCAUCAUCGUCAGUACUAAGUUUUCGGAUGGAGCCCCCUUCAAACCAAAGCUAUUAUGGCAAUUAUACAACUUCGUGGUCAGAGGAAGAGAAGAUGGUUGGUAUGAAGAGACCAUAUCCCUUCUUUCUAGACGAUUCUCCAGGCCCCCUUUCAACUAUAAAUUACCUACCUUUAUCAGAUCAGAUAAAUCAGCCUCAUCUGAAAACGGAGGACAGUUUAAUUUCAAGGCCAGAAAAUUGAAUUUAAGAGAAGGCCCUUCAUCCUCAAUUUCCUAUUCCAAGAUGGAGUCAAACACAAGCAUUAAAGGAAAUGAGGUUCCGGAAGGAAAGUCUCUCUCGCUAUCUCCUCCCAGAACCACAUCAACAUGUCCAAGCUCGAAACUCAAGCCACUUUCAGCUUGUCUAGCAUUGCAAGACACCAUAUUCCCUGAUUUUGAAUCACUGCCAUAUCAAGGAACUGUGGAAGACCCUAUAAUCCAGCAGUUGCCAAGUCAGUUGGAUCAGCAACAACCUUUUUAUUGCUUCCUCCCACCAGCAAAGGUGCAAAUUGGCCAAGCAACAACCACAAUGAACAAUUGUAAUGGAGUAGGAGAAAGUAUUGAUCUCAAUUUGAAGUUAUAAAUGGCUUUGUCCAUUUGUCUCUGCCCAUGUCUUUUGGUUUGUUUGGCAGGCUGGUUGUUCCUCUGUAUGAGACAAUACCAGAGAUAAUCUUUAGCUUUUUUGGUUUUUCUUUUGGAUAUUGCAACAGGUUAAAUUCAAUGUAUAACAAAAUAUGCUUAUGUAAGCUUGAGGAUCAAAGGAAGAUAGGGAGAAGUAGAUUUUGUUUGUU